GGGCUAGGGGAAUAAAAAGAAAAUGUGCAGCCCUUUGGGGUUCAGGUGACUGAGUGUGGGAAGCCUUUGUCAGAGGGUAAAAGUUGCAUACCCCUGGGCUGUAGGCUGCACACCUUGGGUCAAAUAUUAGGUUCUGUAGCUGUGCAUUUUAUCGAAACAAUUCUGUUCUACAAUGGUUCUUUUCCUUAGCUCAGGGUAAGUAGUAGCAGGCCUAGAACAGUCUUAUGCGACGCAAACAUUUGAGUUGUGUUCUUCUUAAUCAAUCAUAAUAUUUUGUCAAAUCCCUUACAGGUUGUUUUGCCUAUUGAUGGCAGCUGUGGGCAUACAAGCACAACAGACACCUUCUAUAAGUAUGCAUUUUGCACCCUGCAAAUUCAAGCACUAAGCGUUUGACAAUAUAUUUUUAACUAACCUUUCCCAUUCCAGAUGACCUCCAUGCUGAAUGCCUUGGUAACGUUAUUCGUUUGAGUGUCGCUCCUCUUUUUGAAGAGGUUGCUACUGUCUUCAAUGACACACACAUCAUAAACCUGACGCCUGGCCUUGCUACUCAGUGUGGAUUCAGCUUUAAAUUUGACCCCAUGGGGAAUGCCAUGUUUUUUGCUUCUCUUCAAAACUGCUUUUCCCAAAACAUGGUAACCCUAAGAACAGUAGUGUUUGCUUGAACUUCAAAUGGACAGUUUGCCUUUCAGUGUCACUGCAUUUGCAACCCAUAAUGUAGCAACGUCAUUUUAUUUAGCCUUUGACCUGGAGUCAUGCUGAGACCAGGCUCUUUUACAGAGGAGCCCUGUAUACACAAAGAUACAAGUCAAUAUUUGCAUCACUAGAUGGAAAAAUGAAAUCAUUGAAAACCAACACAUUCUUCAGUAAAAAGGUCCUCAAUAAGCCCGAGUUGCCGUAGAGGUGGUAAUUCAUACAAUUUUAGAGCAUGGAGGUUAUUAGAAGUACGGUGCCAGAAACAUUGAAGCAGUUUUACUGAACUCUGUGGCCACCCCUGGGUCUGGUGUAUCUUACCUCUAAGUUAACGAUGACGGAAGGUACAGCAGAAGUUUAUGGAGGGCUUUCAGAGGGCCAGCCAACUUUCUGUAGUGUGGCUUCAAUACAGUGGCAGCUGCAUUCAUAUAGCCAAUUUUGCCACAGUCUAUAACUUGCAUGAAUGUCACCUGAAUUAUUAAUUUUUUUGUUAUAUAAUGAAAGGCUUUUUUUCCCUUCCCCCUUCAUUUUAGGAUGAUAAGAUGUUCAGCUUGGUCAUGCAGUUCAG
rnacentral:lncRNA from 1 species